GACGAACGCUGGCGGCGUGCCUAACACAUGCAAGUCGAACGGAGAUUUCAGCAAUGGAAUCUUAGUGGCGAACGGGUGAGUAACGCGUAGACAACCUGCCUUUGAGCUGGGGACAACACCGCGAAAGUGGUGCUAAUACCGAAUGUUGUAUUUUGGGUGCAUGCUUGAAAUACUAAAGAUGGCCUCUAUUUAUAAGCUAUCGCUCAAAGAUGGGUCUGCGUCUGAUUAGCUAGUUGGUGAGGUAAUGGCUCACCAAGGCGACGAUCAGUAGCCGGUCUGAGAGGAGGAACGGCCACACUGGGACUGAGACACGGCCCAGACUCCUACGGGAGGCAGCAGUGGGGAAUCUUCCGCAAUGGACGCAAGUCUGACGGAGCAACGCCGCGUGAGUGAAGAAGGUUUUCGGAUCGUAAAACUCUGUUUCCAGGGACGAAUGUGCGAUGUGUAAAUAAUGCAUUGUAAUGACGGUACCUGAGUAGAAAGCCACGGCUAACUACGUGCCAGCAGCCGCAGUAACAC
rnacentral:rRNA from 1 species